rnacentral:rRNA from 1 species
AGACUUUGAUCAUGGCUCAGAUUGAACGCUAGCGGGAUGCUUUACACAUGCAAGUCGAACGGCAGCAUGAGAGAGCUUGCUCUCUUGAUGGCGAGUGGCGGACGGGUGAGUAAUGUAUCGGAACGUGCCCGGUAGUGGGGGAUAACUACGCGAAAGCGUAGCUAAUACCGCAUAUUCUCUACGGAGGAAAGAGGGGGAUCGUAAGACCUCUUGCUACCGGAGCGGCCGAUAUCAGAUUAGCUAGUUGGUGGGGUAACGGCCUACCAAGGCGGUGAUCUGUAGCUGGUUUGAGAGGACGACCAGCCACACUGGGACUGAGACACGGCCCAGACUCCUACGGGAGGCAGCAGUGGGGAAUUUUCGACAAUGGGGGGAACCCUGAUCGAGCCAUCUCGCGUGUGGGACAAGGCCUUCCGGUUGUAAACCACUUUUCUCAACCAA